CCUACUGGAGGCAGCAGUGAGGAAUAUUGGUCAAUGGGCGCGAGCCUGAACCAGCCAAGUAGCGUGAAGGAUGACUGCCCUACGGGUUGUAAACUUCUUUUAUAAAGGAAUAAAGUGAGGCACGUGUGCCUUUUUGUAUGUACUUUAUGAACAAGGAUCGGCUAACUCCGUGCCAGCAGCCGCGGUAAUACGGAGGAUCCGAGCGUUAACCGGAUUUAUUGGGUGUAAAGGGAGCGUAGAUGGGUUGUUAAGUCAGUUGUGAAAGUUUGCGGCUCAACCGUAAAAUUGCAAUUGAUACUGGCAGGCUUGAGUACAGUAGAGGUAGGCAGAAUUCGUGGUGUAGCGGUGAAAUGCUUAGAGAUGACGAGGAACUCCGAUUGCGAAGGCAGCUUACUAAACUGCCACUGACAUUGAUGCUCGAAAGUGUGGGUAUCAAACAGGAGUAGAUACCCGUGUAGUC
rnacentral:rRNA from 1 species